rnacentral:rRNA from 1 species
UUGAUCCUGGCUCACAACGAACGCUGACGGCAUGGCUAAAACAUGCAAGUCGGACGCGAACGUUCCCUUCGGGGAACAAGUAGAGUGGCGAAAGGGCGAGUAACGCAUGGGUAACGUACCCUUAACACAGGGAUAGCCGCGGGAAAUCGUGGAUAAUACCUGAUAAGACCACAGCGCCGUAUGGCGUAGCGGUCAAAUGGCGGGGAUCCUUCGGGACCUGCCGGUUUUGGAGCGGCCCAUGUCCUAUCAGCUUGUUGGUGAGGUGAUGGCUCACCAAGGCAACGACGGGUAGCGGGACUGAGAGGUUGGCCCGCCGCAUCGGGACUGAGACACUGCCCGGACUCCUACGGGAGGCUGCAGUAACGAAUAUUGUCCAAUGGGCGCAAGCCUGAGACAGCAAUGCCGCGUGCGGGAGGAAGUCCUUCGGGAUGUAAACCGCUGUCAGGGGCUACCAAGUAAAGAGGGUUAACAGCUCUCUGCGCUGAGGAGCCCCAGAGGAAGCCACGGCUAACUUCGUGCCAGCAGCCGCGGUAAUACGAAGGUGGCGAGCGUUGUUCGGAAUCACUGGGCUUAAAGAGCACGUAGGCGGACCUUCAAGCGUCUUGUGAAAUCCCUCGGCUCAACCGAGGAAUUGCGAGGCGAACUGUUGGUCUUGAGGCAGGCAGGGGCGCGCGGAACUCUUGGUGGAGCGGUGGAAUGCGUAGAUAUCAAGAGGAACGCCAGAGGCGAAGGCGGCGCGCUGGGCCUGUCCUGACGCUGAGGUGCGAAAGCCAGGGGAGCGAACGGGAUUAGAUACCCCGGUAGUCCUGGCCCUAAACGAUGUCCACUAGGUCGACGGCUCUCUGACGAGUUAUCGGCCGAAACAAAAGCGAUAAGUGGACCGNCUGGGGAGUACGGUCGCAAGGCUAAAACUCAAACGAAUUGACGGGGGCUCACACAA